UACACACGUGUUACAAUGGGGGGUACGAGAGGGCCGCUACCACGCGAGUGGAUGCCAAUCCCUAAAACCCCUCUCAGUUCGGACUGGAGUCUGCAACCCGACUCCACGAAGCUGGAUUCGCUAGUAAUCGCGCAUCAGCCACGGCGCGGUGAAUACGUUCCCGGGCCUUGUACACACCGCCCGUCAAGCCAUGGGAGCCGGGGGUACCUGAAGUGCGUAACCGCGAGGAUCGCCCUAGGGUAAAACUGGUGACUGGGGCUAAGUCGUAACAAGGUACC
rnacentral:rRNA from 1 species